GACGAACGCUGGCGGCGUGCUUAACACAUGCAAGUCGAACGAAGAGCGACGGAAUCUUGCUUCUAUCAAUCUUAGUGGCGAACGGGUGAGUAACGCGUAAUCAACCUGCCCUUCAGAGGGGGACAAAAGUUGGAAACGACUGCUAAUACCGCAUACGAUCUAAUCUCGGCAUCGAGGAUGGAUGAAAGGUGGCCUCUACAUGUAAGCUAUCACUGAAGGAGGGGAUUGGGUCUGUUUAGCUAGUUGGAGGGGUAACGCCCCACCAAGGCGAGGAUCAGUAGCCGGUCUGAGAGGAUGAACGGCCACAUUGGGACUGAGACACGGCCCAGACUCCUACGGGAGGCAGCAGUGGGGAAUCUUCCGCAAUGGGCGAAAGUCUGACGGAGCAACGCCGCGUGAGUGAUGACGGCCUUCGGGUUGUAAAGCUCUGUUAAUCGGGACGAAAGGCCUUCUUGCGAAUAGUGAGAAGGAUUGACGGUACCGGAAUAGAAAGCCACGGCUAACUACGUG
rnacentral:rRNA from 1 species